CAGACUUCAAUGAAGCAUAUUUGACUCCGGACAAAGAAGCAUUCAACUUGUCGACAGAUGUUACAUGCGUAUACAAGAUUUAGGAAGUAUCAGUCAUCUCUUUCUGCACUAUAUGGUUGUUGUUGACCUCUGAAACGUGUUUUAUUAUGUUUUCGGACUCGCGUAGGUCAUGCCAUACACAGUUAAAGAUGCAUAUGAAUGCUUUAAUCAUGAAGAAGAUCUGGAUGUCCCUGCAAGUAUUGAUGUUUUUGGUGUAUUUCAACUCCAAACUACUCCUCCCAACUAUAAGCUAGAUGUUUG
rnacentral:misc_RNA from 1 species